rnacentral:rRNA from 1 species
AACGAACGCUGGCGGCAUGCCUAACACAUGCAAGUCGAACGAGACCUUCGGGUCUAGUGGCGCACGGGUGCGUAACGCGUGGGAACCUGCCCUUAGGUUCGGAAUAACUCCCCGAAAGGGGUGCUAAUACCGGAUAAUGUCUUCGGACCAAAGAUUUAUCGCCUUUGGAUGGGCCCGCGUUGGAUUAGCUAGUUGGUAGGGUAAAAGCCUACCAAGGCGACGAUCCAUAGCUGGUCUGAGAGGAUGAUCAGCCACACUGGGACUGAGACACGGCCCAGACUCCUACGGGAGGCAGCAGUGGGGAAUAUUGGACAAUGGGCGAAAGCCUGAUCCAGCGAUGCCGCGUGAGUGAUGAAGGCCUUAGGGUUGUAAAGCUCUUUUACCCGGGAUGAUAAUGACAGUACCGGGAGAAUAAGCUCCGGCUAACUCCAUG